GUUACAGACGAACCCUGUGCGGUUGAAGC
rnacentral:other from 1 species